rnacentral:snoRNA from 1 species
CCCUCAUAUAUCUGCCCGGAUAGUGCUUUGCCUCUACAGCUAUCACGGUUCCUGGAAAUGAGGAAGAUCACCCCUGCACUUCGGUCCACCCAUCAUUCGCAAAUCCGGGUUGGUCUGCGGUGUAGGCAUGGUGGGAUGUCUUAUGGAUGGCUCGUUUGAUUCCCAAUUCACUCGAGUGGUUUUCUAGCGCCCUACAUUU